UUCAAACAGUGUCUCCUUUCCCGUUUUGUUCUUGUUAUCUUUCCGUCUGUGCCUGUCUCGCCGCCCCUUCGAGAUGAACUAUAUUACCAAGCUUUGUAAACAAUCUGGGGAUAUGUGCUGUUGCCUGGCAACCGCCAGAGGAAAGGCAAUAGGUUAAGCGUGUGCAUGCUCAUCCCAUAUUAUUAUAAAUAAAUAAAAAAGACAUUUCGACACGUGUAGUUCAUACUGUGGAAUGUUGUCGACACAAGUGCGUGUGUGUGUGUGUGUGUGUGUGUGUGUGUGUGUGUGUGUGUGUGUGUGUGUGUGUGUGUGGCUAAAAUGAGAACUGGCGAAAAUGAAUCUGACAGACAGGCUAGCCGAGGAAAAUUUAGGCUGCUGUUAACUCACUCACUCACUCCCAAAGACGUUUUUAAACGUCUUUUAAGACUUGGUCCAGAAUUGGCUGGUACUGAAUGAGUUAAGAGAAGUGAAACAUUGAAAGUCUGUCAAUUGUCUGCGCGCCUCUUUGAAGAUACAUUUAUCUUCAUCUUGACUCUCAUUGUGACCAGCAGAACUCCGGGCUUAGGCUCCACCUCUUUUCGCAGCAGGCGUUCUAAAGUGUCACCGCUGUCUGCAUCAAAAGAAAUAAACUGAAUAUAUCUGAUGUUAAUGUAAAAUAACGUUCAAUCAUUUGUUUGAAUGAUAGACUUAUAAGUCGUUCUCAUUUUAGUUGUAUUUAUAUUUUUGGGAGCAUGACCGAUGAGUCAGAUGAUAUGAACUCUUAAAAACAGCAACAACAAAAAAAAACUUAACAACCCCCCCCCCCCAAAAAACACAUCACAAUGGAGGACAGAGAUUAUGACAUUCAAACGUCCCUUCCCCAAAACUGACAAAAAAUCUGAAGGGGGAAAAUUAAAAAAUAAAAAAAGGGCAGAUUUUUACUGAUUUUAUUCUCUGUUGUAAAGGUAAACAAAAUAGUCAAGCACAUAGUAUUGUUAAGCCGUCAAAUGUUCUGCUCAUUUUUCAAUGUGUACGUAAAAUAAUUGAGAUUAAUGAUUCACAAAUUCAUUCUCAUAUUUAAUCAUAUUUUUCAUCAUAAAUGUAAAGCCAGUUUUUAAAUAAGCAUGUUUCGCCGAUCCCUGUAGGCUACUAAAGUAAUGUACAAACCCCUAUAAAAAAAAGCAUGUGACUAAAUAUAUCCUGUAUGAUAGAUCGUUUUAUCACAGCUAAGCGAUCACACACGAUAACUCAUUCCUUCUGUUGAAUUUUAUUAGUAAUGUACCAUUUAAUUAUUCACCAAUUUCUGUCCAGCCAUAUAUGAGCACAUAUGGACGACCAUGAAUCAGUUGCUGUGAAGGGCGUCUUGUGUUUGUGAACAUUCUGGACUCGGAGUAGUCACGCGUGUGAUUAUAAAAGACAAAAAAAAAAAGACAUUCUGAAAGAACACCUCUGGGUUUCAUUAUCGGGUCUCAGCUUUGGCGCACUCUGUUCAGGGCUUGUAUUUUUUCCCUUUAAUUGGCUGGGUCAGGUGCACCAAAUUCAAGGGGAGGUGUCAGGAGAGGUCGUGUGAACUCAGUGGUCGGUUAUUAUCAAGCUUCCCGACUGAGGCUUUUUGUUAUCUGAUAAGAUGUGGAAUACUCAUGUUCCCCUGCUGUCAUCUUUCAUGCCUGUGCUAAGUCGCUUCCAACAUGCCACCAAAUAGUUUUUGUAGAAUGUGCUCAAUUUUAUUUUUGUCAAGUGGAAAUAAAAUCACUGUGUAUAGGCACAUUAAAAAUGUAUCUUGAUCCAGAUGGUUUUAUUUCAUGUAACCAUUUGUUGAAAUAAAAUUUACUAAAUUAAACAAAAACAAGAAAAAAAUUUAAUUACCUUUUUUUCACUGUAUGUGGCAGAACAUCUGAUCGUUUUUGUUGUGCUUUGAACUCACAUUUUUUUUUCGAUUUUGAGAGAGGUUAUUUCACCACAUUCUUUUUAAUGUUCGUUUGCAAGAAGCCUAAUCACGCCAAAACUCCUCCUCUUCAUUCCGAAGCCAAAUAUAGACAGUUUUAAUGAGGAAUGUUCUUAUCAUCGCUCUAAUCACACACACACUCCACGCUCUCAUUUGUUUAAUACACAGCGGGCAGAUGUCCUUCAUGAAGCAGCACGUUUCAGAUUCAGAUGUGCUCAAACGUGCAGAACACAAAUGCAAAUAUUUGGUGAUGAAAAUGAAUAAGCCUGGAUGUACAGCACCCAGAACUUUUUUUU